AGUCGAACGGUAACAGGUCUUCGGAUGCUGACGAGUGGCGAACGGGUGAGUAAUACAUCGGAACGUGCCCGAUCGUGGGGGAUAACGAAGCGAAAGCUUUGCUAAUACCGCAUAAGAUCUACGGAUGAAAGCAGGGGACCGCAAGGCCUUGCGCGAACGGAGCGGCCGAUGGCAGAUUAGGUAGUUGGUGGGAUAAAAGCUUACCAAGCCGACGAUCUGUAGCUGGUCUGAGAGGACGACCAGCCACACUGGGACUGAGACACGGCCCAGGCUCCUACGGGAGGCAGCAGUGGGGAAUUUUGGACAAUGGGCGAAAGCCUGAUCCAGCCAUGCCGCGUGCAGGAUGAAGGCCUUCGGGUUGUAAACUGCUUUUGUACGGAACGAAAAGACUCUGGUUAAUACCUGGGGUCCAUGACGGUACCGUAAGAAUAAGCACCGGCUAACUACGUGCCAGCAGCCGCGGUAAUACGUAGGGUGCAAGCGUUAAUCGGAAUUACUGGGCGUAAAGCGUGCGCAGGCGGUUAUAUAAGACAGAUGUGAAAUCCCCGGGCUCAACCUGGGAACUGCAUUUGUGACUGUAUAGCUAGAGUACGGCAGAGGGGGAUGGAAUUCCGCGUGUAGCAGUGAAAUGCGUAGAUAUGCGGAGGAACACCGAUGGCGAAGGCAAUCCCCUGGGCCUGUACUGACGCUCAUGCACGAAAGCGUGGGGAGCAAACAGGAUUAGAUACCCUGGUAGUCCACGCCCUAA
rnacentral:rRNA from 1 species